GGUCCAUUAGCUCAGUUGGGAGAGCGACAGGGUGACAACCUGUAGGUCAUUGGUUCAAGUCCAAUAUGGGCCACCA
rnacentral:tRNA from 1 species